rnacentral:rRNA from 1 species
GUGGGGAAUUUUGGACAAUGGGCGCAAGCCUGAUCCAGCAAUGCCGCGUGUGUGAAGAAGGCCUUCGGGUUGUAAAGCACUUUUGGCAGGAAAGAAAUAGUGCGUGCUAAUACCAUGCGCGAAUGACGGUACCUGCAGAAUAAGCACCGGCUAACUACGUGCCAGCAGCCGCGGUAAGACGUAGGGUGCAAGCGUUAAUCGGAAUUACUGGGCGUAAAGCGUGCGCAGGCGGUUUUGUAAGACAGGUGUGAAAUCCCCGGGCUCAACCUGGGAACUGCACUUGUGACUGCAAGGCUAUAGUGGGUCAGAGGGAGGUGGAAUUCCGCGUGUAGCAGUGAAAUGCGUAGAGAUGCGGAGGAACACCGAUGGCGAAGGCAGCCUCCUGGGAUAACACUGACGCUCAGGCACGAAAGCGUGGGGAGCAAACAGGAUUAGAUACCCGUGUAGUCC